ACGCUGGCGGCAGGCCUAACACAUGCAAGUCGAGCGGUAGAGAGAAGCUUGCCUCUCUUGAGAGCGGCGGACGGGUGAGUAAUGCCUAGGAAUCUGCCUGGUAGUGGGGGAUAACGUUCGGAAACGGACGCUAAUACCGCAUACGUCCUACGGGAGAAAGCAGGGGACCUUCGGGCCUUGCGCUAUCAGAUGAGCCUAGGUCGGAUUAGCUAGUUGGUGGGGUAAUGGCUCACCAAGGCGACGAUCCGUAACUGGUCUGAGAGGAUGAUCAGUCACACUGGAACUGAGACACGGUCCAGACUCCUACGGGAGGCAGCAGUGGGGAAUAUUGGACAAUGGGCGAAAGCCUGAUCCAGCCAUGCCGCGUGUGUGAAGAAGGUCUUCGGAUUGUAAAGCACUUUAAGUUGGGAGGAAGGGCAGUAAAUUAAUACUUUGCUGUUUUGACGUUACCGACAGAAUAAGCACCGGCUAACUCUGUGCCAGCAGCCGCGGUAAUACAGAGGGUGCAAGCGUUAAUCGGAAUUACUGGGCGUAAAGCGCGCGUAGGUGGUUCGUUAAGUUGGAUGUGAAAUCCCCGGGCUCAACCUGGGAACUGCAUUCAAAACUGACGAGCUAGAGUAUGGUAGAGGGUGGUGGAAUUUCCUGUGUAGCGGUGAAAUGCGUAGAUAUAGGAAGGAACACCAGUGGCGAAGGCGACCACCUGGACUGAUACUGACACUGAGGUGCGAAAGCGUGGGGAGCAAAC
rnacentral:rRNA from 1 species